CAACGAACGCUGGCGGCGGUGGCAUAAGACAUGCAAGUCGAACGCUGACUUCAGGGUAGCAAUAUUCUGGAGUCGGAGUGGCGCAAGGGUGCGUAACACGUGGGCAACCUGCCCUGAAGUUCGGGAUAACUCGCUGAAAGGCGAGCUAAUACCGGAUGUGCAUUUCGGAAGGCAUCUUCUGGAAUGUAAAGUUGAGGACCGAAAGGCUUGACGCUUCUGGAUGGGCCCGCGGCCUAUCAGCUAGUUGGUGAGGUAACGGCUCACCAAGGCUUAGACGGGUAGCUGGUCUGAGAGGACGACCAGCCACACUGGAACUGAGACACGGUCCAGACACCUACGGGUGGCAGCAGCUCGAGAAUUUUUCUCAGUGGGCGAAAGCCUGAAGGAGCGACGCCGCGUGGGGGAUGAAGGGCUUCCGCUCGUAAACCCCUGUCAUUCGCGAACAAUUCCUCCAGCCUAACACGCUGGAGGUUGAUGGUAGCCCAAGAGGAAGGGACGGCUAACUCUGUG
rnacentral:rRNA from 1 species